GAUAAACGCUGGCGGCGUGCAUGAGACAUGCAAGUCGAACGGACGAUCGAGGCUUGCUUCGAUCGUUAGUGGCGGACGGCUGAGUAACGCGUAGGUGACCUGCCCCGAAGUGGGAGUAACUGCCCGAAACGGGUAGGCUAAUACCGCAUGUGGUGGUGUGUUCAAUCACACCAGUAAAGACCGCAAGGCGCUUCGGGAGGGGCCGUGCGUCCGAUUAGCUCGUUGGUGGGGUAACGGCUCACCAAGGCGACGAUCGGUAGGUGGUCUGAGAGGACGAUCACCCAGACUGGGACUGAGACACGGCCCAGACUCCUACGGGAGGCAGCAGUCGGGAAUUUUGCGCAAUGGACGAAAGUCUGACGCAGCAACGCCGCGUGAGGGAUGACGGCCUC
rnacentral:rRNA from 1 species